UACGUAGGGUGCAAGCGUUGUCCGGAAUUACUGGGCGUAAAGAGCUCGUAGGUGGUUUGUCGCGUUGUCCGUGAAAACUCACAACUCAAUUGUGGGCGUGCGGGCGAUACGGGCAGACUGGAGUACUGCAGGGGAGACUGGAAUUCCUGGUGUAGCGGUGGAAUGCGCAGAUAUCAGGAGAAACACCGGUGGCGAAGGCGGGUCUCUGGGCCGAUACUGACGCUGAGGAGCGGAAGCGUGGGGAGCGAACAGG
rnacentral:rRNA from 1 species